UCCCUGGAGGACUAGUGGUUAGGCCACAGUGCUCUCACCUCUGUGGGCAGGUUCGAUUCCCAGCCAGGGAA